GUGCCCGUAGCUCAGCUGGAUAGAGCACUGGUCUACGAAACCAGGUGUCGCGCGUUCAAAUCGCGCCGGGCACGCUA
rnacentral:tRNA from 1 species